UACGUAGGGUGCGAGCGUUAAUCGGAAUUACUGGGCGUAAAGGGUGCGCAGGCGGUUGAUUAAGUCAGAUGUGAAAUCCCCGGGCUCAACCUGGGAAUGGCAUUUGAGACUGAUCGGCUAGAGUGUGUCAGAGGGGGGUAGAAUUCCACGUGUAGCAGUGAAAUGCGUAGAGAUGUGGAGGAAUACCGAUGGCGAAGGCAGCCCCCUGGGAUAACACUGACGCUCAUGCACGAAAGCGUGGGGAGCAAACAGG
rnacentral:rRNA from 1 species